rnacentral:rRNA from 1 species
UGGGGAAUAUUGGACAAUGGGGGGAACCCUGAUCCAGCCAUGCCGCGUGUGUGAAGAAGGCCUUAUGGUUGUAAAGCACUUUAAGCGAGGAGGAGGGUACUGGUAUUAAUACUACCAGGUACUGGACGUUACUCGCAGAAUAAGCACCGGCUAACUCUGUGCCAGCAGCCGCGGUAAUACAGAGGGUGCAAGCGUUAAUCGGAAUUACUGGGCGUAAAGCGCGCGUAGGUGGUUCGUUAAGUUGAAUGUGAAAGCCCCGGGCUCAACCUGGGAACUGCAUCCAAAACUGGCGAGCUAGAGUAGGGCAGAGGGUGGUGGAAUUUCCUGGGUAGCGGUGAAAUGCGUAGAUAUAGGAAGGAACACCAGUGGCGAAGGCGACCACCUGGGCUCAUACUGACACUGAGGUGCGAAAGCGUGGGGAGCAAACAGG